AGAGUCCUAGGGUUCCGGGGACUGGAGGACAGCGCCGGCAGCUAAGGCCUGUGGGACACUUACACGGCACAGACACACACAGCCUGCUCUGUGGCACUCCUGACGAUUGCAGAAUCCGUGGGAUCCAGAGUCUGAGACAGCGUCUGUCUCCUUUCCUACCUCUUCCUCUCAGGUCUUCUGGAGAAACCAGAAAUGUACCCAUUCACCAUUCCAACAGCCAUGACCUUGAUGAUGACCUGUAUCCCUUCAUUGCUGGAUAGUCUUCCCCACUGGAAGGAUGCAAAUGGAAACUCACUGUGUUCACUUGGAGCUUAUGUACUGUCCAAAGGUGUUUUACAGCUGUGGGUAGUUCGGCGGGGCCCUUGAGGAUCGAAUGAAACACAGUAUACCUCUGAAGUCUCCCCCAGUUAGCACUGCAUUAUCCUCUUAUUUAACCUGAUUCCCCAUUAUCCACUAUAGUGCCUGGUAGCUCAUUAUCAUCAUAAAAACAACAAUAACACAGUAAUUAUAGAUAACAUUUAUUCAGUUAACUGAGUGCCAGGUACUAUGCUAAACAGCACCUCUUCCUUUAUGAUUAUAAUAUCACUCACCCAUUCAUAAACCCUAGAAGGUAGGUUCCAUGUCAUUUCACAUUUUGUAGAUAGGGAUGGAAGUGAAGACUCUGCCCCAAAAUCACAGAAGUAGUAAAUGAUGACGUCGGAGUCUACACCUGACACUGAAGCUCUUAAUACCACAUCAUAGCUGCCCAAUAAAAUCCUUUUUC
rnacentral:lncRNA from 1 species